UACGAAGGGUGCUAGCGUUGUUCGGAAUCACUGGGCGUAAAGCGCGCGUAGGCGGCCAAUCAAGUCAGGGGUGAAAUGCCACGGCUCAACCGUGGAACUGCCUUUGAAACUGAUUGGCUGGAAGAUGAGAGGGGAUAGCGGAAUUUCUGGUGUAGAGGUGAAAUUCGUAGAUACCAGAAGGAACACCGGUGGCGAAGGCGGCUAUCUGGCUCAUUCUUGACGCUCUGGCGCGAAAGCGUGGAGAUCAAACAGG
rnacentral:rRNA from 1 species